CUGAUUGUGCCUCCAAGACGGCAUCGUGAUGCCCACCGCCGACGGUGCUGUGUCGCGACCAAAGGGGCACCCGUGUACGGCCGGGGACUCACUGCAGUUGAAGCACGCCAUCUCGCCACCAUGUAUGUUGUGUGUUCUUGUGCUGCAGGUCCUUGGGGUUGGGUGUUCUUGUCGCCACCAUGUUCAUGCAGGCACGAAUUGGACUGAGAAAUGCUAACAGAGGAGGAGAAGACCAUGCAAGUCCUUGGGGUUGGGCGCGGCAACUCGUGGCUCGAAGACAAUCUUUUGUGGUGGGGCGUCGCCGCCGCUGGCGGCACCUGCAUAGACCGUCUCGCUGGGAAUGAAGAGAUGCUCCCCUGAUUUGGAGCUGUAGAAAGGAGGUGGUUGCAAACACAAAGUGGGGACACACAACUCCCAGUCAUAAUAUUCUUUAUCUUGGCUCGUUGUUUGGGGAUGGACGCAUCAAUCUGAUCGCGCUCUCCUCCAUGCCAAAUGGAUCCUUGGUUCGGAGGUGCGCGGCGCCGACGAUGACAACCUUUCUAUCGAUGCAAGGGCAGCAGGAGCUCAUGACGCUGUUGAUGCCACCACCAUGCACGGGGUUGAUGCAAGGCGGGACAAUGCGAUCACUAAUGGGGAGAACAUAAAACUUCAAUUGAGGGCACCGUGAUUCUCUAGCUACAUGUAUCAU